AGCUGGUACGCAGCACCCACAGCACCGCGGCAGCAGCUAGUGCCGACUCCCGCCUAGCUCUUUUGACUCUGUUCGCGGGAAGAAUGGGGAAACAGUAAGGUUGCGGCGCCUCCCGCGAGACGAGGUACCUGAGGCUGGCCCCGCAGUCCCCCGCCGCACCAGCACCGGAGCUUCACACCCCACUUCCGGGGUCAAGUCACCGCCGGGAAUCCUGUGAUCGCAGAAAGAUUCAUCCCACCGGAAAAAUGUUUAUUCUUUCAGAUGGAGAAGGAAAAAAUGGAACCAUCGAGUUGAUGGAACCCGUAUGUUUAAGUGUUAAUAAGUCUCUUAUAUAUUAUAGUUAAUUCUUCAUCUUGAUUUGGUUUGUUGCCGAUGUUUCUAAUUUUUGCAAUGGAUUUAAAAAGGAUGAGCUGGUAAAACGUCCCUGGCUGUAAAAUUUAAUUCUUGUACUAUUCUCUCAUUAUAUUUCCUUUUACAUUUUUAACCAAUGAUUUUUUGGGCGUCAUGAUUUUUGAACAUAUCCCAUAAAUGUUGGAUAACAAUUCUCAUUCCUUAUGAAAGACCAUAAAAUCACAUAAGAAAAAUUUACGUUGCUUUUUUCUUCCUCAAGAGGUUUUUUGUUUCGUUUUUGUUUUUUUGUUUUGAGACAGGGUCUCACUCUGUUACCCCGGGUGGAAUGCAGUGGCACCAUCAUGGCGCACUGCAGCCUUAGCCUCCCAAGAUCAAGUUGCUCCCAUGUCAGCCUCCCCAGUAGCUGGGACUACAGGCAUGCUUAACCAUGCCUGGCUAAUUU
rnacentral:lncRNA from 1 species